GGGUUGUGAGGUUAAGCGACUAAGCGUACACGGUGGAUGCCCUGGCAGUCAGAGGCGAUGAAGGACGUGCUAAUCUGCGAUAAGCGUCGGUGAGGUGAUAUGAACCGUUAUAACCGGCGAUUUCCGAAUGGGGAAACCCAGUGUGUUUCGACACACUAUCAUUAACUGAAUCCAUAGGUUAAUGAGGCGAACCGGGGGAACUGAAACAUCUAAGUACCCCGAGGAAAAGAAAUCAACCGAGAUUCCCCCAGUAGCGGCGAGCGAACGGGGAGGAGCCCAGAGCCUGAAUCAGUGUGUGUGUUAGUGGAAGCGUCUGGAAAGGCGCGCGAUACAGGGUGACAGCCCCGUACACAAAAAUGCACAUAUUGUGAGCUCGAUGAGUAGGGCGGGACACGUGGUAUCCUGUCUGAAUAUGGGGGGACCAUCCUCCAAGGCUAAAUACUCCUGACUGACCGAUAGUGAACCAGUACCGUGAGGGAAAGGCGAAAAGAACCCCGGCGAGGGGAGUGAAAAAGAACCUGAAACCGUGUACGUACAAGCAGUGGGAGCCUCUUAAUGGGGUGACUGCGUACCUUUUGUAUAAUGGGUCAGCGACUUAUAUUCUGUAGCAAGGUUAACCGAAUAGGGGAGCCGAAGGGAAACCGAGUCUUAACUGGGCGUUAAGUUGCAGGGUAUAGACCCGAAACCCGGUGAUCUAGCCAUGGGCAGGUUGAAGGUUGGGUAACACUAACUGGAGGACCGAACCGACUAAUGUUGAAAAAUUAGCGGAUGACUUGUGGCUGGGGGUGAAAGGCCAAUCAAACCGGGAGAUAGCUGGUUCUCCCCGAAAGCUAUUUAGGUAGCGCCUCGUGAAUUCAUCUCCGGGGGUAGAGCACUGUUUCGGCAAGGGGGUCAUCCCGACUUACCAACCCGAUGCAAACUGCGAAUACCGGAGAAUGUUAUCACGGGAGACACACGGCGGGUGCUAACGUCCGUCGUGAAGAGGGAAACAACCCAGACCGCCAGCUAAGGUCCCAAAGUCAUGGUUAAGUGGGAAACGAUGUGGGAAGGCCCAGACAGCCAGGAUGUUGGCUUAGAAGCAGCCAUCAUUUAAAGAAAGCGUAAUAGCUCACUGGUCGAGUCGGCCUGCGCGGAAGAUGUAACGGGGCUAAACCAUGCACCGAAGCUGCGGCAGCGACGCUUAUGCGUUGUUGGGUAGGGGAGCGUUCUGUAAGCCUGUGAAGGUGGCCUGUGAGGGUUGCUGGAGGUAUCAGAAGUGCGAAUGCUGACAUAAGUAACGAUAAAGCGGGUGAAAAGCCCGCUCGCCGGAAGACCAAGGGUUCCUGUCCAACGUUAAUCGGGGCAGGGUGAGUCGACCCCUAAGGCGAGGCCGAAAGGCGUAGUCGAUGGGAAACAGGUUAAUAUUCCUGUACUUGGUGUUACUGCGAAGGGGGGACGGAGAAGGCUAUGUUGGCCGGGCGACGGUUGUCCCGGUUUAAGCGUGUAGGCUGGUUUUCCAGGCAAAUCCGGAAAAUCAAGGCUGAGGCGUGAUGACGAGGCACUACGGUGCUGAAGCGACAAAUGCCCUGCUUCCAGGAAAAGCCUCUAAGCAUCAGGUAACAUCAAAUCGUACCCCAAACCGACACAGGUGGUCAGGUAGAGAAUACCAAGGCGCUUGAGAGAACUCGGGUGAAGGAACUAGGCAAAAUGGUGCCGUAACUUCGGGAGAAGGCACGCUGAUAUGUAGGUGAAGCGACUUGCUCGUGGAGCUGAAAUCAGUCGAAGAUACCAGCUGGCUGCAACUGUUUAUUAAAAACACAGCACUGUGCAAACACGAAAGUGGACGUAUACGGUGUGACGCCUGCCCGGUGCCGGAAGGUUAAUUGAUGGGGUUAGCGGUAACGCGAAGCUCUUGAUCGAAGCCCCGGUAAACGGCGGCCGUAACUAUAACGGUCCUAAGGUAGCGAAAUUCCUUGUCGGGUAAGUUCCGACCUGCACGAAUGGCGUAAUGAUGGCCAGGCUGUCUCCACCCGAGACUCAGUGAAAUUGAACUCGCUGUGAAGAUGCAGUGUACCCGCGGCAAGACGGAAAGACCCCGUGAACCUUUACUAUAGCUUGACACUGAACAUUGAGCCUUGAUGUGUAGGAUAGGUGGGAGGCUUUGAAGUGUGGACGCCAGUCUGCAUGGAGCCGACCUUGAAAUACCACCCUUUAAUGUUUGAUGUUCUAACGUGGGCCCCUUACCGGGGUUGCGGACAGUGUCUGGUGGGUAGUUUGACUGGGGCGGUCUCCUCCUAAAGAGUAACGGAGGAGCACGAAGGUUGGCUAAUCCUGGUCGGACAUCAGGAGGUUAGUGCAAUGGCAUAAGCCAGCUUGACUGCGAGCGUGACGGCGCGAGCAGGUGCGAAAGCAGGUCAUAGUGAUCCGGUGGUUCUGAAUGGAAGGGCCAUCGCUCAACGGAUAAAAGGUACUCCGGGGAUAACAGGCUGAUACCGCCCAAGAGUUCAUAUCGACGGCGGUGUUUGGCACCUCGAUGUCGGCUCAUCACAUCCUGGGGCUGAAGUAGGUCCCAAGGGUAUGGCUGUUCGCCAUUUAAAGUGGUACGCGAGCUGGGUUUAGAACGUCGUGAGACAGUUCGGUCCCUAUCUGCCGUGGGCGCUGGAGAACUGAGGGGGGCUGCUCCUAGUACGAGAGGACCGGAGUGGACGCAUCACUGGUGUUCGGGUUGUCAUGCCAAUGGCACUGCCCGGUAGCUAAAUGCGGAAGAGAUAAGUGCUGAAAGCAUCUAAGCACGAAACUUGCCCCGAGAUGAGUUCUCCCUGAGACUUAGAGUCUCCUGAAGGAACGUUGAAGACGACGACGUUGAUAGGCCGGGUGUGUAAGCGCAGCGAUGCGUUGAGCUAACCGGUACUAAUGAACCGUGAGGCUUAACCUUACAACGCCGAAG
rnacentral:rRNA from 1 species